UAGAAGGACUAUGCCUUAGAAGUUAAGAGUCUUCCCAGGAUUAAGGGUGUGUGCUUGGUCUAGAGGCAAAAAAACAGACCUGCCCUAACAAAACCUAAGACCAAGCCUCCAAUAACUCAAGUGGGCCUGCCAGUAAUUUAACUGCCUGACAGAACAAAACCUAACAGUCUUCAGAGAAAGUUAACAAUUCAGAGUCUCUACAACGUAUCGUUUACAGGGAGUGGCCAAAAGGUCCUCAGCGGGGGAAACUGAAUUCCAUGCACCAAUCCUCUCCAGCUCUCUAUGGAAGGAAGUACAUGAAGUCCGCUGAAAUGUGUCUUUCUCAGUAAAAAUCAACCCUCCUGGCAAAACUUUACAUUACAAAGGAGGACGCACAGGAUUAUAUAGUCAAGCUAUAAGACUCAACCAAUCACGGGGCCUCUGAGAAUGCUUCAGGAGGAAGUAAUAUUCAAACUAGAAUUAGGAGAACCAGCAAGCCUGAGCCAGAAGGAGGGAAAAGUAUAUGAAAUGCUUGGGAUUGAGAGAGAAUAUGGAUGCUGCUGGAGCAAGAUGAUUUUACAGAAGAGCAGUUCUCACUCAGGGGACAUCUGGCAACGUCUGGAGACAUUUUGACCACCACAACUAGGAGGAUGCUACAGAGAUGCUGUUAACCAUCCUACAAUUCACAAGACAGACUCCCACAAAAAGAAUUAUUCCAUCCCAAAUGUCAUUACUGCCAAGACUGAGAAGCCCUGUUCUAGAAGCUCAUUGACCUGGUCUGUGGAUACUAGUAACUUUAGUGUUUUCUUCCCAAGGAUUCCUGUCAAAGAAUACAAGUUUCUAAAGCUAACAUCAAAGAACCCUGUUAUUAUCAUACAACUGAAUGAAACUAAAAUCUGAAAAUACCAAGUUGCACAGAUAUGGGAAGAUAUAGGAACUAUAGCUUUUACUUGUGACUUGCAUGUGGGAAAACUAAUCAGACAAUCUCAGGGGUGGUAGUGCAUGAGUUCCAUGAUGCCCUGAACACAAACCAAUCCAAUUAUGUAAGAGAUAAUCAAGUAUUACCAGACCUGGAGUUCCUUAAUGUUUUGUGAGCAGAAUGGUAUUCAGUACUACUGAUUGCUGAUUUUUUCUGUUAAUGAGAUAACUAAGUGGGGGUCACAUGCUCUCAUCCUCUGACUGCAGUCAUGUAGAGAGGUGCUCUGCUGUCCAAAGGAGAGAGGGAAGACAUGAGAUUUGCCUGAAGCGGAGCGCCAUGCCGGCUUUUUCCUCCUAGAAGUGAACCUCCCUUGUCUUGAGACUCUGCUCUGACCCAAAACCAGGGCUGGAUGCUGAAAGCCAACAGGAGCCAAGGACCAGGUUUGAGACGAAGGUCCAGUUAGACUGGGGUUCUGAUAGAGAUGGGCACAUGUGGCAAACAAGCAAGACAACUCUAUUUGGAUGGAGAACCAAAGAGCCUCCCAAGAGAGUACCGAAAGUCAUAACAAGAGUGAGAGUGAAAGCCGGUGGAGUGAGGGGUGGGAGGGAAGCACUUACCCAAAUGAGCCAGAGCCAGGCUAGUUUUCUGCUCAAAGUGUGGUCUAUCAAUCAGCAGCAGCAGCAUCACUUGCAAACUUAGAAAUGCAGGUCAGGUCCCAUUCCUGACUCACUGACUUGGAGUCUGUGUUUUAACAAGAUCUCCAGGUAAAGUCUAAGAAGCACGGAUUGUGCCCUAGGAUGAGGGAAAAGGGGUGACGUACUGAUACAGGUGGAUUACAGCAGACUGUCUCCCCACCUGGCCUCUCAGGUUCAAACCUAAAUGCUGUGGAACCCCCAGAAGAGUUGUUUCACUGAAACCCUUUUAACUGGGUGAGAAAAGGAGAGACGUGGCUUUGGUAUACAGAAAGCACAUUACACACACUGAUGGCGGGUGUUCCCUCCCACUUUGCCAAACACAGCUGUGGCACCUCUCCAUCAGUAUUCAAGGCUCUGUUCAGGCUCCUCAAACAUCUGCCCUCUCCCUCUCAGCAGACGAAUUCAUGCAGAGUUGACCUAAGCAAUCAGAUAGGAAUACUUUCAACUUUCUUGUGCAAAACUCAGAAAUGCGCCUGGUUUCCUCCCACACACAUCCCAGCAGGAGAGGAGGACUCCUGCGCAGGCUGAAUCCUGGGGCCCAGGCUGAUCAGCUGUUCUCUUCGCUGGCUCUGUCCUGGUGGCACUGCAACAAGCUGAAUCCUCUUCCAGAUUUACUUUAAAAGAAGAACAGGGACUCCUUCUAGCCACCAUAACCUCCAAUUAAUACCCUGUAAACUUUCCUUUUCAGUCAUGUUGACUUCAAAAUAACCUGCUUACUACAACAUUUCUAAUGUACAAGAAUAUCUGUGUACCUACUACCUAGAUUGGACACAUCUUAAACUUGUCUAUAUUUGUUUCAGAUAUACUUGUA
ensembl:lncRNA